rfam:Schistosoma mansoni strain Puerto Rico chromosome W, complete genome
AGCUUUCUGAAUCCGUGCACAGAUUUCGUCAAACACCAACCCAAUUAAGGGUGAUCAGACUUUCAAGAUAAGUGAAGUU